GACCUGGCUCAGGAUGAACGCUAGCUACAGGCUUAACACAUGCAAGUCGAGGGGCAUCAGGAAGAAAGCUUGCUUUCUUUGCUGGCGACCGGCGCACGGGUGAGUAACACGUAUCCAACCUGCCCUUUACUCGGGGAUAGCCUUUCGAAAGAAAGAUUAAUACCCGAUGGCAUAAUGAUUCCGCAUGGUUUCAUUAUUAAAGGAUUCCGGUAAAGGAUGGGGAUGCGUUCCAUUAGGUUGUUGGUGAGGUAACGG
rnacentral:rRNA from 1 species